UGCCACAUUGGCACCUUUGGGGUGGAGCCAGGCAGGGCAGGAGCUGAGAACAGCCCCAGCCUUCAGGGGCCGCCCAGCCUCCAUCCGACUGCCUGGCCUCAAGCUGGGAGGAGGACCCCUGGGGAUGCAGCAUAUUUUAAGAUGUUGGUUUUAGGCAUGGACAUUUGAAUGAGCAGAAUGUGUGGGCUGCAGGCUGGGGUGGGAGAGCCGAUGUCCGCAGGGCAAGAGAAUGCUGGUCUCUCUUGCCCUGCGGACAUCGCCAGGAGGCUCUUCCUGCGGCCAUUGUGAUUUUUAGGGUCAGAAAAUUAUUUGGAAAUAUUUUUUAUUCUGCAAAUAUUUUCUAUACAUUUUUUCUUGAGUGUUUUCCCUUAGUAUUUAGUAAAACUUCUUUUGAAAAUGCUGGCCUGCUGCACCUGUUCUCAGAGGGGCAUGAGAAAAGAGGAUUCUCUUCCUUGGGCUGUGGGAAGCCCCUUGAGAUGUUGGAAGCAGGGCAGGGCAGGAGAACCCAGGGAGGGCACAGAGCUGUGGACGAGGGCUGGGAAAGCCAUCCCGCCUCCCCAGGGGGUCUCCGAGGAGUGCUGCUGUGGCCAAACCAGGGGGGCCACUUUGUGCUUUCUGUUUAGGUGAUGGGAUGCUUCUAUCUCCUCAGCAGCCCACACCAAAUCCCCUGUUAUUGCCAGAUGAUGUGCCUAAUGAUCAAAUUGCUUGGAACUCCUAAUAAUAAAACUUUAAAUCUA
rnacentral:antisense_RNA from 1 species